UUUUGAUACAGGCUUCGAAGCCUCGGUGUCGAACGUCACAUCACUACAAAACAACAACAACAAAACAGCAGCUUAAAUCCUUUAAAUCAGUGUUCAUAUUUUAUUUGCUGAGGAUCCUCUCUAGAACUAUUUGAAAGAGAUGACACAGAUCAACUUCAAUCAAGAUCAACUUCAUUAUAAAGUGAUCCGGAUUCUUCUGAUGGGCAGAAAUGUUUCUGGGAAAAGCUUAUCUGGAAACACCAUUCUGGGAGAAAACUUGUUUAAAGAGCAUAAAGCUGAAGUGUGUGAUGGUCAAACUCAGAUCAGUGGGAAGCAGGUUGCUGUGAUUGAUUGUCCAGAUCUACUGGAUCCAGAUCUGUAUGAAGAGCAGCUGGAGAUGAUGAAAGAGCAGCUGGUCUCUCGAUGUUCAGCAGGACUCAGUGCAGUUCUGCUCACCGUUCCUCUAGAGAAACCACUUGAAAAUGAGGAAGAGAUCCUGGAUUAUAUUCAGUGUUUAUUUGGUCCUGAGGUUCAGAAAUACAUCAUGAUUCUGUUCACACACAAAGAUGAUCUGGAUGAAACAAUUGAUGAACAUCUGAAACACCAAGAUCAUGAGGAUCUCCAGUGCCUGGUGUCUGAAUGUGGAGGAAAGAUUCACUGUUUCAAUAACAAUAAGACCGUGAAAGGUCAAGUCCAAGAACUACUACAGAAGAUUGACACAAUGAUGAUGGAGAACGGUAGGAUGUUUAUCAUGGAACAAAUGAGGAGGAGACACAGCAUGGUCAGCAUUGUUAAUUUUUCAAGAGAGACUCCAGCUGAAAAUGAGAUUGAUAUGAAGAAAGACCAAAAAACUGGAUCUGGGCAGAUUGGCACAAUUAUAUUUACAUUUGCAAUGAUCACCAUCAUCUACAGAAACGACAUAUGCUUGGAUAAAAAUAUGCAUCAGAAGAAACAGGAGUGUGAGUGGUUACCUCAAUCAGAAGAGCAGAAAAUAUACCUGUGUUCAGAUGAAAUACUGACUCAGACACACAGCGGUCAGUCUUUGGGGCUUUUUGUCCUAAUUGCCCUCGUGAUCAUGUGUUUCAUAACACGUAAAAAGAUCCUCAGAAAUACAUCAUGAUUCACUUCACAUGUGGAGACGAACUGGAUCAAAGCAUUGAUGAACAUCUGAAGCAGAAAGAUCGUGAGGAUCUGCAGUAUUUAAAUGUGACUGGAUGUGGAGGAAAGAUGCACUGCUUCAAUAAUAAAGAGUAAAUCAGAAGAUCAGAUACGAGAUGAUCAACUGCUGCAGAAGAUUGAAGGAAUGAUGAUGGAGAACUCCAGCUGAGAGUCUCCAGAAGCAGAUCCAGAUGAGAUUCAUGAGAGGAAAACUGGAGAAAGUGCAACAUGGAAAAACCAUCAUCAGCAGAAAGAUCUGACGCUCAGUGAUUGGUUCUGCUGGGAAAACUGAUAAGAUCAAUAAGUAAUGAUGUGUUUUUGCAUAUUACUCAUCAAAAUAGUCAUUUUCAACUAUUUUAUAAGCGUGUUGGGAAAAACUGGAUCUGUAAAAAUGACUAAAUCUGAGAUCAGACGUCUCUUCUGAAAGCCAGUGAUGCAACUGCAGCAGAGAGGAACAUUUUCAGUCAUUAAUAUCUGAAUGAAAUCACCUCAGAAGCUUGAACCCCAACUCGACUUCAGUCAGAUGCCGUGAAGAUGGAGACGAGAGCUGAAACACGUCCUAGUCAGAGAAUGUUUACGCAGAUUAAUCAUAAAGAAACCUGUCUGUUCAGUCAUUUUUGCAUCUUCAUUUGCUUAGAAUUAAACCUGAGUUAAACCUGUAGUUAAACUUCAUGUUCACUUCAUUCACUAAUCAACCAAUGUGAUUUGAUUUGAUUUGAUGCUGGUUUGUGCUUUAAAUGACUAGAAACUCUUUUGUAGAAUGAGGGAUUUUAUAUUUGUAUCUUAUUUUAGCCUUUCCCCCUCAUCUCCUUGUGCUUUGGAGCUUCAUGUGAUGUAGACAGCAGUUCCUCCGGUGGAUUCAGUGUGAUUGUGAUUAAUGUACGUUCAUAUGAAGGAGGGCUCCGCGUUCCAGACAAAUAGAAAAUAAUUUUAGUUGCAUCGGUUUCUAUUCUAGUUCUGUUUGUGUAUAGAUUAAUAUUUCAACAAUUUAGUGGCAAUGGCAUUUAUUUUUAUUUUUUUUAUAAAUGUAAUGUUUUGAUUGUAUUUGUUUUUCUAGGAGGUGUUUUCCUGUGCUUGGGAUUUACUGAGAUUGAUUUUAUGUUGUUGGCUUGUUUUCUGGAAACCAGGUAGGAUUUUGGAGAAAUGUAGCGCUAUAUUGUGAUUCUGCUGAAGUCAGAUGCAGUGAAGAUGAGAGAACAUCUGUUUACACUCUUUAAUCAUGAAGAAACCAGUGCAUUGACUCGGCUUUAGUUUGGACAUGUAUUCUUGAUUCUGGACUUUCAUUAAAUAAAGGAAUGCAUCCCAGAUAAGUAGUAGCUGUUGAAGUGGUUUGUUGUUCUGGGGAACUGAGCCAAACGAGGGUCAACAGCAGCUGAAAGCACCCAGACGAUGAUCAUGAUCUGACCUGAGAGCAUCAACCCCUAAUUGACAUGAGGAAAAAAUCAUUGAAAAGUGUACAGUGUACCCCUCUUUGCAACAGAGGAAGCAUUAGGAAAGAGGAGAAGAGAGAAAGUGAAAAGGCACUCAACAGAUGUUGAGUUUGGGUUCCUUGCCGCUGUCGACUUUCGGCGUGCUUAUUUGGGGACUAAUAAUAUUCAGCAAUAUUAUUGAUCUGACUCCACCGGCACUAUUGAUGAGGACUGAACUGAGCUAGAUGAUGACACCACUGCUAUCUAGAUGCAUUGAAAUUAUUUUAUAUUUGAUGAUUUUUAUACAGUUAAUCGAAAUUAACUGAGUCAACACUGAUUUCAACUGAACAAUGACAUGUUUUACUGUUUAGAGCUGCUUCACAGCAGAUGUGAAUUCUGUUUGCAUCAUUAUUUUUCUUUUUAUCACUGUAAAUCAGCUUUGAAACAAUCUGUAUUGUAUAAAGCGCUAUAUAAAUAAUGGUGACUUGACUUAAAUUGGUUCAAAUCUUCAAAAAAAAUGUGCAUGAAACAGGCAACCUGAAUAAACACAAAAUACAGUUUAUUAAUGGUAACUGUAUUUGCCUUUGUUUUAUGUUAAUUGUCUUAGGAAUAUAUGACGAUAUUUAGUGCUGGAUAUAUACGCAAAAAUAGAAUAAAUCAGGAUUUGUUUUCACAGCACCGUACACCAGCAUUUAUGUGCAGUAGUGUGACAUUAAUGUGUGGAAAUGGACAUUUUAUCAGUGUGUGAUUGCUAUUUUCAGGAAAAUGCACUGGUAACAACUAAAAAAAGACGAAAAUAUAAUUCAACAGAGUAUGAUGGCUGUGGUGAAAUAAGCACUCAAAUAAUGAAACUAAGACCUGUGGGAGUGCUGGAGAAAUCAAGUGUAUAAGUCCUCUGUCUCCUCAGCCAUGGAAGAGAUCUUCAGACAUGAAGAGAUUGAGGAGUUAAAUGAAGUCAAAGAGCUAAAAGAAGAUUUACAAUAUUAGUGUAAUUUCAGUAUGAAAACAGAGAGAGAGCUGAGGCAGUGGAAAGAAAUGCAUGUUAUUGUGCAAGGGGUAGUUGCAUGGACUAUCAGUGGAGGAACAGAAAGCUCUGAGAUUUCAUUAUAAAGAUCUUCAUUUGUGUUCUGAAGAUGAAUGAAGGACUUGCGGGUUUGGAACGAUAUGAGGACUACAUCCAAAAUAGUGUUUCCACAUCUGAGAUGAAGGCAGUCAUAAGAACCAAGCAGAACGAUGAGGAUAAGAUCUUCAAAAAAUGAAACCUGUCUGAAUAAUGAGGGAAGAAAUGUGCAUGAUUGUGUGAUGUGUAAAUAAACACUAAAUACUUUUAGUGUAACUCCCAGCCUGUUAUUUUAAGUUUAAAGAAAAGUAAAAUCAUUUAUUGUUGCAUUGCUGUUUGAGACAUUCACUGUUGUUUUGUACCUUAAUUUAUUAUAUUGCAGUUGUGUAAAAUAAAACUGGUUAUUCUGAAUAUUCUGGUUGCAUUUCAGUGUUACUGUACAGCAUUUUAUUAGUAUUGCACUUUGGUAGUACUGAAUUGUACUUCAGUUGUAUUAUUGCAGUACUACUGCAGAUUUAUUGCAGUAUAAUUGUAGUAAUACUUCAGCUGUAUUGCAGUAAUACUGCGGUUCUAUUGCAGUUGUUUGUUAGUAAUACUACAGCUCUACUGCAGUUGUAUUUCAAUAGUACUUCAGAUGUAUUGCAGUAAAAUGGCAAUAAUGCAGUUUUUUCGUGUCCAAAAAACUGCAUUUUUCUACA